AGUGAACGCUGGCGGUAGGCCUAACACAUGCAAGUCGAACGGCAGCACAGUAAGAGCUUGCUCUUACGGGUGGCGAGUGGCGGACGGGUGAGGAAUACAUCGGAAUCUACUUUUUCGUGGGGGAUGACGGAGGGAAACUUACGCUAAUACCGCAUACGACCUACGGGUGAAAGCAGGGGAUCUUCGGACCUUGCGCGAUUGAAUGAGCCGAUGUCGGAUUAGCUAGUUGGCGGGGUAAAGGCCCACCAAGGCGACGAUCCGUAGCUGGUCUGAGAGGAUGAUCAGCCACACUGGAACUGAGACACGGUCCAGACUCCUACGGGAGGCAGCAGUGGGGAAUAUUGGACAAUGGGGGCAAGCCUGAUCCAGCCAUACCGCGUGGGUGAAGAAGGCCUUCGGGUUGUAAAGCCCUUUUGUUGGGAAAGAAAAGCAGUAGGUUAAUACCCCGCUGUUAUGACGGUACCCAAAGAAUAAGCACCGGCUAACUUCGUG
rnacentral:rRNA from 1 species